AGCUGUGAUGCCCCGGUCUCUCCAGGAGCUGGUCCCUCCAGUGGCAAGUCUAUUACAAGCACACUCAGCUGGAAAGUUUUAGUUGUACUCAGGGGUAAAGAAUUGCCCUUUAGCUCAAAACUUAAGUAUAAGUGGUGAAUUGGCACAGAGUAUCACUUGGUCCUAGGUGGUGGGCGUCAGAUGGAGCUGCUCUUUUAACAGUAGUUGGAAUUGUAUUCAUGUGAAAGAUCAUAUUUAAUCUGUUAUUAAUUAUUUAAUGAGGACUGAUGGAAUGAACAAAAAAGAUUGAGUGCCAUUAAGUACAGAACUUGGGAGAUUUCCCUGGCAAUGCUUUAAUAUUUGAUGCAGAGAUUGUUUUUACGUGCAAACAUAUGGUCACAGCAGGUAUUAACUAAAAUGGCCUGAGAAAGGAAUGCGAUUUCCCUUUCCUUCCCCCAUCUUCCAGCCCAGAUGUGCUGUUCACAGUGAGCAGCAAUGGGAAUCUGCAGCACAGCUCCUCUCCUCCUUUCACACGUGAGUUGUGCUUCUCUGUGAUUGCCACAGCAAUGGGUUUAGCCUCUGGGAGCAGUGCGUACCUUCACAAUUCAUUUCUCCGUUUCCAAUUUCACACUGCAGACUUCCCAAAUGGAGUUCCCAAAAGGGGUGGCUCGCCAUGAGUUUGCUGGUGAUGGACGCUUCAGGGCGGUCAGGAAGAAGGGGAGCGAAUGCACUGGAGAGCUUGUGCGUGAGGAAGCCCUGUCACCCGUUUGCCUCAGACAAGCCCCAGCACACAAAGCAGCUGUGGGGAGGUCACACAGGGGAGUGAGCCCAGAGCUGACCAGGGGGCCAUGGUGGCCCUGCGGCAGGGGAAAAGUGGCUGGCGUGGCCGGGAGCUCUCUACUCCAGCUGCUCCAGUGCAGGCCUCCAAGUCCUGCUUUGGGAGUGUGAAAGGAAAACUUCUGUUUUGGGCUGGCAGCUCAGUGACCCCUACAGUCCUACACAUUGCAGGGCACAUAGGCGAAGGUAGGAGUGCCCGCAGCUGCCGCUUGGCUGAGGCAGCCAUUUUGCGAUGGUGCGCCUCAUGUGGUGGCCAUUUGCCCGACACAGCCGUUUGCUUGCAGAGCCACGUCUGUGGUGGCCAUUGACCUGAGGCAGCUAUUUGCUGAGGCUCCCCACACGUGGCCACUUGCCCCAUGCAGCCGUUUGCCCAAGGCUCUUCAUGCAUGGUGGCCAUGAGCUGGCUGUUUGCCCAAGGCGUCUCAUGCAGUGGCCAUUUUCUGAGAACCCUGAUCAGGCAGUGUGGAAACCUUCUGAAUGCACAAGGAGGAAAGAAAUCACUGAGAGCAGUGAGAAUAAAGUAUGAGGCUUCAGUAAGUAAGUCAACAGAGAGAAGAGGAGGAAAGGCACAUGUCUGGAAGGCUGUUGGAAGUCUGCAAACUGAUGAUCAGGAAGAAGAUGGGAAUGAAUAAUAGCAUAAGAAGAGAGACAAUGACCAAAAAAGAAAUGAUGGAAUAAAAGGUUCAGGAUGCCUAGAGACAAAUGAUAUGGAAAAAGGCCUCCAUGACAGGUCCCUACUGGCACUGACUGUACAAGCAGGAGGACACCUAGGCAGAAGGUCCUGCUGGAUGGAACAUGUCUCAAGGGCAAUCCAAGGAAGGAGAACAUUUGAUAAGCACACGUAGCUCCGGGCAAAGCUGUGUGCAUUCCCACGGAGCUGUGAUGCCAGUGAGCUCUCUGCCAUGCCACACACUUUUUCCUUCUCCUUCGGGCUCUGAAUCAAAUCCUUUUGAAGUCUCUGCAGGAGCUCUCCCUGCAGACUUCAAAGGGCUGUGGAUCAAGCGCUGUAGAGGAAGUGCAGUUCAGGAAGUGCUGAUCUGAGCUUCACUUCCUUUUGCUUUCCUUUUCCCUUACUUCCCUUAAUUUCAGAAAGGAACAUACUAUAUUCCAUCUGUUCUCAAACGGUCCUGGGCUGUGAGCCACCAGAGCCUGGCACUGUGUCAGAGGGCUGUCAGAACAGGAAGGAGCACAGUUGUUCUGUUCUCCUGGCUCCUUUAGUGGCUGACUCCUUCCACCAGAGCUUCUUUUCCUUUCUCAUGAUGUGGUGCAGUGGAAGAAAGUAUCUGGCAUCCUAAUAAUAUUAGUUUUAUGGUAUUCUACUUUUCAGCUGUGAGAUGAACAUCAGAUGCUUACAUGAUCUUUCUACCCACACACAAUUUGUGUUCGCGUGUGCAUAUAAAUUUAUUCUAUACCAUUGCUGUUAUAAAUUUGUUCAGAACUUAAAAAUUCUGUGGGUGGGUAUCUACGUGAGAGAGACAGAAAGAGAUGAUCGUGCUACAGGGAUAACACUAUUGCUUAGCUCCUUUUGCAUCUAAUGGAAGUCCAAAAGACUACCUGGAAUCAAGUUGCUGAAAAUUGGAUCAAUUUUGGAGGCAAAAUAAUCCACUUAAAACUGUU